rnacentral:rRNA from 1 species
UACGUAGGUGGCAAGCGUUAUCCGGAAUUACUGGGCGUAAAGCGCACGCAGGCGGUCUUUUUAAGUUUGACGUGAAAGCUCCCGGCUUAACUGGGAGAGGUCGUGAAUACUGGAAGACUUGAGGCAAUGAGAGGGGUGUAGAAUUCCCGGUGUAGUGGUGGAAUGCGUAGAUAUCGGGGGGAAUACCAGUGGCGAAAGCGGCACCCUAGCGUUAGCCUGACGCUCAUGUGCGAAAGCGUGGGGAGCGAACGGG